CCGCAGAAGUGGGGGUACCGUCGGCGCAGGUCGCGGUUGAGACAGUCCCUUCGAACCUGAUCCGGUUGAUACCGGCGUAGGGAAGCUUCGCAAGCCUGGUC
rnacentral:ncRNA from 2 species